ensembl:lncRNA
UUUCUUUCUGGUGAUCCUUCCUUUGUGGAGCUUUUUAUUGUGAGCCUAAAUCUUUGGAUAUACCCCACAAGAGAAACAUUUCGGAGAGGGUUGCUCUAUAAUUUACAUUCUUAUUGUCAAAUCUGGGAAAUGAAGCACAGAUACUUUAUGAGGAAUGGCUUGUUCAUUUUAAAUGGGAAAGAAACGAAUUUGAAAUAUAACUGCCUGGCAAACAAAUUUGAAGGUGAUUAAAUCAACCAUAUUUAAAGACCGGUGAGUCCAGAGUCCUGCAGUGAGUCUCGUAACAGCUCUGGGAAGCAGGUCAAUAACUUCUUGUCUCCUCUGCUACAAAUAUGGAGAACAGGCUGCUCCAUUUUUGCAUCAAUGUUUUAGGAUCAAAUGCCUCUCCAUACACCACAGGAGCCCACUGCGGAGCCCUGACAGCCCAGGAGUGAGUGUGAGCUCCCAUCCUGGGCUGGUGCUAUGGCCUUACCCAUAUGGAGCCUUCAUGGAGCAGAGCUAAAUUACCCCCUUCCACAAUCUAAGCAAGCACCUUUAUCUCUGGGCUUUCAUUUUCACUCUGUGGGUGUUUGGCAAUGGGGAUUAUAUUAGCAUAAGUAAUUAUUACCAUAUGUUAUUGUUUGAGGUCCUAACUGACAAUGUGUGUGGAGAAUGAUCUGAAUGAUACGUAUGGUAUCUCUCUUUACACACAGAGACAGGGGGAUCUAGGGUGUGACUAACUUCUUCCUAAAUACAGUUAAAAUUAUCUGCACCCAAAUUAUAUAUUUUUUUUUGCUACUGACUGUACAGGGAACCCAUCUCAGUCACAGCUGUCCCACUUGGAGAUGCCUUAUGGUAAAGUAAUUCUCACCUGAAAGAUGGACAGUUAAAUUCAACCCAAAACUUUAGUCCACACAGAAUACACAGUGUUAAGCAAGUCAGUCAGUGUAAUAAAUACAUGCCUAAACAUCUCCUCCAAGGGUUUAAAAAAUAAAACAAAAUAAGAACUUUGGGAAGUAAAAAUGCAGAACACCAAUCCCAGUUGAUUUUCUACAUUUUAUCAAGUGGAGGCAAACUCUCAAACAUUUGGAUAGAUUCAAGAAGAUGCCAUUUAUUUCUUGAUGUGAGGGCUAGCAGCUUUGCAAAGGGCAGGGAUGAGCGGGGACAAACUGUGAUGUUUCAAACCACUAUGCAGAGUGAACAAACUGCCGAUGGGAGACUCUGUUCCUUCAGCAAUGGCAGUGCAGCAACCUCUGCUUCUGUGUUCUUGGAGGCAUGGUGUCAGAUCCCUUAGCCUGCACCAGCGGAGUAACCUCUCCUCCCUGAGUUUCAUUUUUCCUAACACGACAUGAAGUUUCAGAUUUCCUGCAUAAAUAUUACAUGGGCCUCAGAAAUUAUUAAUAACAAGCGCAUUUGAAUUCAGAACCAGCUGUAGAAAUAAAUGUCCAGUACUUCAGAGGUAGUUUUCUUGUAGCAAACAGAGAUUAAAAAUGCAUUUUGCAACUUAUCACCUCUCAAAAAGCAUAAGAGGAAAAGUGAUAAAUUAUUAGGAUCCAAGCAUGGUAUAAAUGUGCCUGAGGUUUGAUUACUCGUAACUGUACCAGUAAUCAAAAGGGUAGGUACCAAAAUACCCGUGCUGUUCUUCCAUUAUAAACAGUAAUUUUUUAAUCUUAUCAUAUGAGUGUCUGUGAAGUCGAUGUAUUGAGCAAUUUGGAACUAAAAUUCCUGUCUUCAGG